CAAUAGAUCGAAAGUUAUCGAAUGUAACCUAUUCUAUCGAAACACUCUUCUGAAGUAUACUCUCAUCUGACAAUUUAGGCUAACUUAAAGUAUCAAAUUCAUAAGCUUGAAUCAUUUGUUGAAAACUAAUAUACAUAUUAUUACUAUUAUUAUACAAAAUGUCAAGCACAGUUAACAGUAUAAUUACUAACAGAAAUCGAGAUUGUUUGGCUUGCAGAAUUAUUAGUGGUGGUGGUUUGAUUGGAGCAGGUCUUUAUGUUUCUUAUAAUAGUAAGAAAUUACAAAAAACUAAAGGAAAAGCAGUGAUGUAUACUUUAGCAAGUGGACUGGUAUUAUUGGGAACCACUAGGAUACUAAAUCUACCACCAUUUCGAAACCAGUUUACUAAUCAUAACUAAACAAUAUUUAAAUAUAAUUAAAACAAUAUAAGAACACAAAAUAUGUAUUAACACAUACAGGAUUAUAAUAAUGUUAUACUACACGUAGAAAAACUCUCACAAAAUAUUACUUUCUUUCCUACUAUAGUAUAUUGUGCUAUAUAGAUUUUUAUAUUACACACACAUUCUAUUAGAAUUAAUGAUAAAAAUAAAUUGUAAUAGAUUCAAAAAACAGAAAAACCUAAUUAAUUUACAAUUAGGGUUAAAUAAUAAAAUUAAAUAAAAAACGCAUUUAAGUAUUUUCCUUCGACUUGUUAAUGGUUUUUUUUUUAUUGCUGUAAACAUAGGAAUAAUACAUCAAUGUGCAUUAGUCUUAUAAAGGUGCAAUCAUUUAAUUUGAAAAAAAAAAUUAAACACUUUUAUAAAAACAUCAAUUUCUUUUUUUAAUGUCAUGGGAGAAUAUAUUGUUGUAUAGUAGAAGGAUUAUUUUGUAUCGUUUUUUAAUUUUUUUGUAAGUAUUUUAUCAUUUUGCGAAUAAUUUGCCUUUGAACAAUUAAUUCGAUUUUUUGUUUAACAUUAUUUGUAUAAAACUUUUCCAAUGGAACGGGGAAAUGUAUUUUUUUUUUCUUUUCUUGUAGUCCUACACAACACUACAAUGAAGUUUUUUUUCAUCAUGACUUCUUUCUCUCUAAUUUAUUCACUCAACACACGAUUGAAAAAAGAACUUUGCUUACGAUCAGAGUUGUGUUUUAUCUGAUCAUAUCAAAGAAUUGGAAUGAAUACUGACAAG